AAUGAUUUGGCAGAUUAGUGCAUUAAAUUUAGAAUUUAAAUAAGUAUGUUAAAAUACAUUCAUUA
rnacentral:tRNA from 1 species